UAUGGCAGACGGAUGUGGCAGCGACAAGGACAACAUCGCUGUGGACACAUAUGUGCAUUAUGUGUGGCCCAGUUGCCAGCUUCGGAUACUGGCUACUACUGAAAACUGGAUAUUGAAUACUGGAUACUGGUUGCUGUAUGGCGAUUGGGGUCCGAGAAAUUUCCAUAUUUGAUUGUUUUUGAACGCCUGCCGCAGGACGAGAAAAGCAGGAAAAGCAGGAAAAGCAGGAAAAGCAGACAAAACGCAGAAUAAAAAGCUCGCCAAGCGGCGUCUGUUUAUUGAAAACGGCAUAUAAAAAUCGAAUGGGCGGCGGCGCUUUUUCGUCCUUUUUGGAAUUGUGAAAAUGUGGAAUGCACCAGGCAUAACAUACUUUUGGGGGCGCUCAGUGAAAUGCAUCCAUUUAUUUACAUAUAUGUAUGUACGUAGGUGCAAGGACAACCCAUCCAAUGGUAAAAAAUAUUAAGUGAAGGCAAAGAAAAAAUAGGCACGAAGGCCGUUAGCAGAAUGAAACGAAUUACGAGUACCCUAGUCGAAGAAUUCAUAUUGCAUUGUCAUUCCAAAAUAUUUGUAUAGUAAUUUAAAGUGGUGUAAUCUUUCCAAGAAAAUUAUUUGUAAGCCGAUCAUUGAUAUGAUGCUAAAAUCAGGAAAUUCACAGAAAUGUGUACUUGUACUCGAGAAUUUCCUAUUUUGUAAACUCAUUAAAGGCAACUAGUAGGCAUGUAGGGAAAAUUCAAAUAAUUUGUUCAGUUUACAAUUAUUUUUGCUGGCGCAACCCAAAAAAUAGUAAAGCAUGCAAAACAUUCGCAGUGACACAAAAGCAACGCGGAAUCGGGUAGCAAAAAAAACAGGGGAACAGUAGAAAAAAUCCAUGCAGCCGGCAGCGACAGUCAAAAAGUUGUUACAAAAAACAAUUUUCGGAUUCAGUAGUUUGUAGCUGCAAUCUUUAAAUGGAUGUACAUGGCAAGUGGGAAGUAUCAGAAAUUAAACGCAAAUUGAUUGCAACAAGAAGAUAGCGAGUUUGUUUUAUUUACGUGUCACACUUAUGAUGAAAAUAAUAAAAUUCUUCAGUGAAA